rnacentral:tRNA from 1 species
UCCCUCGUAGCUCAGUUGGUAAAGAAUCUGCCUGCAAUGCAGGAGACCCAGGUUCGAUCCCUAGUCGGGAAG